rnacentral:rRNA from 1 species
UACAGAGGGGGGCAAGCGUUAUUCGGAAUUAUUGGGCGUAAAGGGCGCGUAGGCGGCCUGGCAAGUGGAAGGUGAAAUCCCUCGGCUUAACCGAGGAACUGCCCUCCAAACUGCUUGGCUUGAGUCCGGGAGAGGUGAGUGGAAUUCCCAGUGUAGCGGUGAAAUGCGUAGAUAUCAGGAGGAACACCUGUGGUGUAGACAGCUUACUGGACCAUUUCUGACGCUGAGACACGAAAGCGUGGGUAGCAAACAGG